CCUACGGGUGGCUGCAGUGGGGAAUAUUGGACAAUGGGGGGAACCCUGAUCCAGCCAUGCCGCGUGUGUGAAGAAGGCCUUUUGGUUGUAAAGCACUUUAAGCGAGGAGGAGGCUACUCUAGUUAAUACCUAGGGAUAGUGGACGUUACUCGCAGAAUAAGCACCGGCUAACUCUGUGCCAGCAGCCGCGGUAAUACAGAGGGUGCGAGCGUUAAUCGGAUUUACUGGGCGUAAAGCGUGCGUAGGCGGCUUUUUAAGUCGGAUGUGAAAUCCCUGAGCUUAACUUAGGAAUUGCAUUCGAUACUGGGAAGCUAGAGUAUGGGAGAGGAUGGUAGAAUUCCAGGUGUAGCGGUGAAAUGCGUAGAGAUCUGGAGGAAUACCGAUGGCGAAGGCAGCCAUCUGGCCUAAUACUGACGCUGAGGUACGAAAGCAUGGGGAGCAAACAGGAUUAGAUACCCGUGUAGUC
rnacentral:rRNA from 1 species